GACGAACGCUGGCGGCGUGCUUAACACAUGCAAGUCGAACGGAAAGGCCCUGCUUUUGUGGGGUGCUCGAGUGGCGAACGGGUGAGUAACACGUGAGUAACCUGCUCUUGACUUUGGGAUAACUUCAGGAAACUGGGGCUAAUAUCGUAUAGGAGCUCCUGCUGCAUGGUGGGGGUUGGAAAGUUUCGGCGGUUGGGGAUGGACUCGCGGCUUAUCAGCUUGUUGGUGGGGUAGUGGCUUACCCAGGCUUUGACGGGUAGCCGGCCUGAGAGGGUGACCGGCCACAUUGGGACUGAGAUACGGCCCAGACUCCUACGGGAGGCAGCAGUGGGGAAUAUUGCACAAUGGGCGGAAGCCUGAUGAAGAAACGCCGCGGGCGGGAUGACGGCCUUCGGGUUGUAAACCGCUGUCGCCUGUGACGAAGCGUGAGUGACGGUAAUGGGUAAAGAAGCACCGGCUAACUACGUG
rnacentral:rRNA from 1 species